rnacentral:rRNA from 1 species
AUACGUAGGGUGCGAGCGUUAAUCGGAAUUACUGGGCGUAAAGCGUGCGCAGGCGGUUAUGUAAGACAGAUGUGAAAUCCCCGGGCUCAACCUGGGACCUGCAUUUGUGACUGCAUAGCUAGAGUACGGUAGAGGGGGAUGGAAUUCCGCGUGUAGCAGUGAAAUGCGUAGAUAUGCGGAGGAACACCGAUGGCGAAGGCAAUCCCCUGGACCUGUACUGACGCUCAUGCACGAAAGCGUGGGGAGCAAACAGGAUUAGAUACCCUGGUAGUCCACGCCCUAAACGAUGUCAACUGGUUGUUGGGUCUUCACUGACUCAGUAACGAAGCUAACGCGUGAAGUUGACCGCCUGGGGAGUACGGCCGCAAGGUUAAA